UCACAUCAUUUUGAUUUAAUCACCACAAUUUCUCAUAUCAGAUGCUUCUCUUUGUUGUACAAUACGUGCAGCUGCUGUUUGGAACCUUGGUGAGUUGGGGAAGAUAGCUGGCCGACUGGUCCUGGAUGGUUCAUGCUUGAUUUUAGUUUCUUGCAUGAUUGUGUUUGCUGCGUAGAUUCUUUUAUCUAUUUUCUAUGUACUUGGCAUGAAUAAAUUUUAAUUUUCUCACCCGCCUUCUCAUAUAUAUAUGGUGUACAGGUUGCGCUGCAUCUAAAGGGCGGAGACAAUGGAUGGAACAAAAGAUGGAUCGUCGCACAGAGGCAUGAGCAUGGUGGAUAAUGAAGGAGAGAGGAGGUGGCAUAUGGAGGGUGAGAAGGUGGAGGAGGUGGUAUAUGGAGGGUGAGCAGGCGGACGAGGUGGCACUCCCACAACCUGCAGCUGGCUUGUCGCGCGAGAAUCAGCAAUGCAACAUACUUGUGUUUGUGCCUUUUUAAUCGCCUAUCUAUGUUUUUGAACAUAAUUCUAGCUGUUAACGAAUCAACAUACUGCUAAUUGCAAAGUUAGUACCAUUGUUGUUCCCUUUAAGAUUCUCACAAACAGAAUUUUUUUCUUUCAUUGUUCAACAUUUGUUAUAGAAAAGGUACUCCACUUUGUAUGCUCUCUAUAUGUUCAACUUGGUCUAUUGUUGUAUUUGUUCAAUUCCUCUAAGCAUAUGUUAUUCAGUAUAUUUAUAUUUUGAAUGUUUCGCGGUAUUUAACUUCAACCCCUGCUUGUGAGCCCGGAGAGAGGGAUCUUUUACUCCGUCCUUUAUUUACACCCUGUUGAUUAUCAUCGAGUUCACUCUCCUGUUGAUUGGAAUAUUUUAAAACGUCAACAUUUCUCAGGUAAUCUUUUCUGAACAAGCGUACAUGUUGUGCAGACCAUCAAAAACCUGUAUGUUGAGAAUGAAAGGGUAGUGCUCGAAGGUCGUUGGGAAGAAGGUUUUGUUGCGAUCGUAGCAGUUGGCGCUACUAAUGUUAGUUCUGUCAGGGUAUGUAUUCUGCCCAAUUAUGAGUUAUUAUUCUCUUAUUGCUGGAAUAUAACUGAUAGCACGAGCAAAUAUUAU